UACGAAGGGUGCAAGCGUUACUCGGAAUUACUGGGCGUAAAGCGUGCGUAGGUGGUCUGUUAAGUCUGAUGUGAAAGCCCUGGGCUCAACCUGGGAAUGGCAUUGGAUACUGGCGGGCUAGAGUGCGGUAGAGGGUAGUGGAAUUCCCGGUGUAGCAGUGAAAUGCGUAGAGAUCGGGAGGAACAUCUGUGGCGAAGGCGACUGCCUGGACCAGCACUGACACUGAGGCACGAAAGCGUGGGGAGCAAACAGGAUUAGAAACCCCUGUAGUCC
rnacentral:rRNA from 1 species